GGGGUCGUAGUCAAGUGGUUAAGACACUGCCCUUUCAAGGCAGGAGCGAUGGGUUCAAUUCCCUCCGACCUCA
rnacentral:tRNA from 1 species